AGCGAACGCUGGCGGCAGGCCUAACACAUGCAAGUCGAACGAACCUUUCGGGGUUAGUGGCGGACGGGUGAGUAACACGUGGGAACGUGCCUUUAGGUUCGGAAUAACUCAGGGAAACUUGUGCUAAUACCGAAUGUGCCCUUCGGGGGAAAGAUUUAUCGCCUUUAGAGCGGCCCGCGUCUGAUUAGCUAGUUGGUUGAGGUAAUGGCUCACCAAGGCGACGAUCAGUAGCUGGUCUGUGAGGAUGAUUAGCCACAUUGGGACUGAGACACGGCCCAAACUCCUACGGGAUGCAGCAGUGGGUGAUCGUGCGAAAUGGGCGAAAGCCUGACGCACCCAUGCCGCGUGAAUGAUGAAGGUCUUAGGAUUGUAAAAUUCUUUCACCGGGGACGAUAAUGACGGUACCCGGAGAAGAAGCCCCGGCUAACUUCGUG
rnacentral:rRNA from 1 species